AACGCACAUUGCGCCCUCUGGUAUUCCGGGGGGCAUGCCUGUUCGAGCGUCAUUACAACCCUCAAGCUUUGCUUGGUAUUGGGUGCUACCGUUUUGGUACACCUUAAAAUCAGUGGCGGUGCCACCUGGCUUCUAGCGUAGUAAUACUCCUCGCUAUGGAGAUGGGUGUAUACUUGCCAUAACCCCCAAUUUCGUAAGGUUGACCUCGGAUCAGGUAGGGAUACCCGCUGAACUUAA
rnacentral:misc_RNA from 1 species